rnacentral:rRNA from 1 species
AUUGAACGCUGGCGGCAUGCCUAACACAUGCCAGUCGAGCGGAUAAAGGGAGCUUGUUCCUGGCUUCCGCGGCGGGCGGGUGUGUAAUGCCCAGGCGUCUGCCUUGUCGGGGGGGAUAGCGCCCGGAAACGGGCGCUAAUCCCACACACGUUAUGAUGGAGAAAGGGGGGGUUCUUUAGACCUCGCGGUAUCAGAUGACCCUAUGGCGGAUUAGCUAGUUGGUGGGGUAAGGGCUUACCAAGGCGACGAUCCGUAGCUGGUCUGAGAGGAUGAUCAGCCACACUGGAACUGAGACACGGUCCAGACUCCUACGGGAGGCAGCAGUGGGGAAUCUUGGACAAUGGGCGAAAGCCUGAUCCAGCCAUGCCGCGUGUGUGAUGAAGGUCUUCGGAUUGUAAAGCACUUUUAUUUGGGAGGAAGAGCAGUAUGAUAAUACCUUGCUGUCUUGACGGUACCAACAGAAUAAGCACCGGCUAACUACGUG